GGGAAUUUUGGACACAGACACAGACAUGCACAGAGAGAUGACUAUAUGAAGAGACCCAGGGAGAACGCCAUGGGAAGAUGAAGGCAGAGAUCAGGAUGAUGAAUCUACAAGUCAAGGCAUGCCAAAUAUUGCCAGCAAACCACUAGAAGCUAGGACAGAGGCGUGGAACAGAUUCUCCCUCACAGCCCUCAGAAGGAACCACCCCUGCGACAGCUUGAUUUCAGACUGCUAGCCUCUGGAAACAACUAAUAAAAAAGCUUGUUUGGGGCAAUGAAGAGGUGAAAGCACACGUGAGUAAGCAAGAAAAUUGACCUAGAGGAAGUGAUCAAUCUAAACAGCAGAGAAGUAGUGCUUCUGGAAAAAUCUUCAUCACACUCAUUCGCUUUGCAGUAAUGAAGUGGAAAAGGCACCUUAUCAAGACAAGCUUCAGAAUACGGAUGAAAAUAUUAGGUGAGCCCCUGGAAGCUGAACUUGGCACGCGUGUGUUAUCAGAGAAUCCUCCACAUGUGGAUUGCGUGGAGUUGAAGAGCUUUGAAGAUUUUAAGUCUCUGAGCAAUCCAAAUCCUUUCGAAGUUGAAGAAUAUCUUUUUCUCGACAAACAGAAGCAUCCUUUUUAUGUUAAUACAGUCAUGCUAAGAAACAAUGACAGAAUAGUUGGUAUGGGAGUAAUGCCCUGAAAGAGAUGAGUCACUGUCUGAGGCAGAAACCGGAAAGCGUAAAGCUCCCUGUGGGGAAUACAACAAAGACGUGGGAACCAUCAUAGGACGAUCGACGUUGCCUCUGCCAUCACCUGGGUUUGUGAAUGGCUUCAUCAGCACUUCAUGCUAACACUAUUAAAUAUGAAGUGUCAAGCUCGGCACUCACAGAAGGUGACCUGGACUAGAGCCAGGCCCCCAGCUGAGCCUGUGAUGAGCAUCCAGGAGCUGCUCAAAUGAGGGAUCAAUGACUUGCAAGUUUACCAGGCAGAAUAAUGAAUAGAAGUGGGACAACUGCAAGCAAAAUUGGCAUGAGAAAUGAGGGUACUGAGAGAGUGGCCAAGAGUAGGGCACAGCUGCAGAAAGUUGAGGAACUAGCCCGCUAGAAUCUGACCUGGGAGGUACAAACACAGUGCGGAAAACUUGGUAGUCCUAUGAGGAUUUCGGGGGCAGAGAAAAUACUCUGUAUGAUACCAUAAAGAUGAAUACAUGUCUUUAAACGUUUGUCCAAACCCAUAGAAUGUACAACACCUCUCUGGCGGGGCAUGUUGAUAAUGGGGGAGAUUAUGUUUGUGACGGGCCAGGAAAUCUCUGCACUUUUCCCUCAAUUUUGCUGUGAACCUAAAAUUGCUCUAAAAAUAAAUGAAGUCAAUAAAAAAAUGUUUUUGUAAGGAAUAAAGACACUAAGAUGUUUAUAUGAGCGAUCAUUUUGGUUAGUUUCAAUACAAUGCUAUCUAAAAGAUAUGGCUAGUUGUAUACUUGCAUCUUCUGCUAAAAUGAUAUUUGAACACCUCCAAGGCUAUAAGCUUGCAUGACCAGGAUGAGAAUAGAGCCUAUUGAGAAGCACAAGGAAGAUGAGUUGGAAGGUGAACUGGAAGAUGAGUUGGUUGUAGAGGAAAGAUUAUGAUUUCUACUUAGAAGGACUUUCUAUCUCAAAUAUUUAUACCACUAAAAGAAUGCUGAAUGUUAAUAAUGACAUUUAAUGUUAUAGUAGUAUUAAAAUAGAGUUGCUGUAUUUUUCUUAGAGAGUAAUAAAAGUUGAUAAGGAUUUUGAGACACACUUCUAUUUCUCAUUUAAUUGCACUCUUUGUAUCCACACCAGCCCGUCAAUGUAAGAUAAGAGAAAACACAGGUUUGUAUUACCCAGUUGGAUGCUACGCUGAUAUUUACUAAUAGAACUCUGCUGAUACAGAAGUAGAUAGUAAAAUAAGUUUUAUGUCAAUUGCUCAGGUAUUUUAGGAGGAGAAGAUAAGAUUAUGUUGAAAAGUAAACUGUAAGUUCCUUCGCUGGAGUUGCUGUGAGUUUUUAUUUCUUUACAUGUCCUAGUUUGUGAAAUGCUCACACGUGAGGCAUGCCAGGACCUAAGCCGACAGGGAGGAGACAGAAGCUAGGGAAGGAGCCUGGGAAAUACAACCUAAUGCAAUGGCUGCCGCCACCUGUAGCAGCUAAGUGAUUCAUUGUACAAAAGGCAAGCGUAGCCCCAGUUGAGGUUAUUUCUGAGAUCUAAGGGUAUCCAGCGGUUAAGUGGGGCAGGGAUAAAGUAGAAAGUCAUUGUGUCAGUUCAUACUCAAAAACAAGUGGGCGUCAGCAUCAUUUUAACUAUUUAAUUCAUGGGGGAAAUACAGCCAGUGAACCGGAGGCUGGGGAGGAAUGAGGAGGUAAUGGUCAAAGGAAAGCAAGGUCUAGCCUCUGGGAGGGAAGCUUAAGGUAGAUAAAGAGAUUUGGGGUGGUGUUCAAGCCUAGGUUGGCAGAAGGGG
ensembl:lncRNA